GGGGAUGUAGCUCAGUGGUAGAGUGUUUGCCUGGCAUGUGCAAGGCCCUAGGGUUCCAUCCCCA
rnacentral:tRNA from 1 species